rnacentral:misc_RNA from 1 species
AACGCACCUUGCGCCCUUUGGUAUUCCGAAGGGCAUGCCUGUUUGAGUGUCAUUAAAUUAUCAACCUUGUUGCUUUGCUUGCGAAGCAAUCUAGGCUUGGACGUGGGGGUUUUUGCUGGCUUCCUUCAGUGGAUGGUCUGCUCCCCUUAAAUUCAUUAGUGGGAUCUCUUGUGGACCGUCACUUGGUGUGAUAAUUAUCUAUACCACUUGGCUUUGAAGCAAAUCUUAUGAGGACCUGCUUAUAACCGUCUCUUUGCUGGGACAACUUUUGACAUUUUGACCUCAAAUCAGGUAGGACUACCCGCUGAACUUAA